rnacentral:rRNA from 1 species
ACUCCUACGGGAGGCAGCAGUGAGGAAUUUUGCGCAAUGGGCGAAAGCCUGACGCAGCGACGCCGCGUGGAGGAUGAAGUCUUUCGAGAUGUAAACUUCUGUCAGUAGGGAUGAUAAUGACAGUACCUACAGAGGAAGCACCGGCUAACUCCGUGCCAGCAGCCGCGGUAAUACGGAGGGUGCAAGCGUUGUUCGGAAUUACUGGGGCGUAAAGCGUACGUAGGCGGCGAGUUAAGUCGAAUGUUAAAGCCCGGGGCUCAACCCCGUGGAUGCCUUCGAUACUGGCUUGCUAGAGGGUGAUAGAGGAAAGUGGAAUUCCGAGUGUAGCGGUGAAAUGCGUAGAUAUUCGGAGGAACAUCAGUAGCGAAGGCGACUUUCUGGGUCACACCUGACGCUGAGGUACGAAAGCGUGGGUAGCAAACAGGAUUAGAUACCCUGGUAGGAUAGCG